AGCAGCCGCGGUAAUUCCAGCUCCAAUAGCGUAUAUUAAAGUUGCUGCAGUUAAAAAGCUCGUAGUUGAAUUUCGGGACUAAUAUGUCGGUCGUGCCUCGGUACGUACUGGUUUAUUGGUUUCUCCUUUCUGAAGAACCAUGAUGUCAUUUAUUUGGUGUCGUGGGGAAUCAGGACUGUUACUUUGAAAAAAUUAGAGUGUUUAAAGCAGGCUCACGCUUGAAUACAUUAGCAUGGAAUAAUGAAAUAGGACGUUUGAUUCUAUUUUGUUGGUUUCUAGGAUCGACGUAAUGAUUAAUAGGGAUAGUUGGGGGCAUUAGUAUUCAAUUGUCAGAGGUGAAAUUCUUGGAUUUAUUGAAGACUAACUACUGCGAAAGCAUUUGCCAAGGAUGUUUUCAUUAAUCAAGAACGAAAGUUGGGGGAUCGAAGACGAUCAGAUACCGUCGUAGUCUUAACCAUAAACUAUGCCGACUAGGGAUCGGAUGAUGUUAAUUUUUAAUGACUCAUUCGGCGCC
rnacentral:rRNA from 1 species